UACACGUCAACAAUUUAAAAUUGUUCUGAUGAGUCCGACUUCGCGAUCAGCAAGUCUAACGAGGACGAAACGUAUG
rnacentral:hammerhead_ribozyme from 25 species